rnacentral:lncRNA from 1 species
CAACAGCUUACAUACUUAUCUACUAUGGUGGCACAAAAAUAAGUUUUAGCAUAAUUAUUUUCCUGCUUGCAUACUAUAAAUAUGAAAAGUAUAAAAAUUAUAUUGAUCAUACUAAAAGAUAAAUGGGUAUAAGAAAGUUCUAGACUCUCAAAGCUUAGAGGUUUAUUACUAAUGCUUAAUCAGUUCCACAAGCUUUGUUGUCUAUUUGAGCUUCAUAGGCUUCAAAGGAUCAAGAAGAACUAACAGGCAGAAGGACGUUCUGUGCCCUGUCGGAGUACUAUUCACACGAGGUAAGUGCUGUUUCUGACAGCAAGUGCCUACGAUACUCCAAGAGGAUCAGUACGUCUUCACUGCCCGUCAGCAAUCUCAACAAACUGUGUCAACAUCCAGCUUGGGGGAGAGCAACCCCCGUACACUGAGCUAAGCAUCCCUUACUCGCUUAUAUAUUUAUUCCUAGUACGUUAUGACAAGAUAAAAAGAUGAAUAAUCUUGCUAGGAGAGCUCUUGAUAAAUCUGUUAAGAUGAACCUCUAGAAUAAACUCUUAUAUGGAGAUGAUGAAUAGUUGCUCUGCUGUAAUUUCUUGCAAGUAUCUAGUUUUUAACCUUGUACUCUCUUGAGUUUUAGACACAACUGUUUAGACUUAAGAUUUGCUCUAAGCCUGAAACUUGUGGGUAGCAAAUGCUUGAUCUAAGUCUAGGUAGUUGACAGAUAUGAUAUGGGAAGGUUUUGAGCUCCUAUCAGUCUUGCUCCUAGAGAUACUAGAGUUCUGGAGAACUUUAUUUUGAAAAUCUUAAAUUGCUACAUAAUGAGUUCCUUUAUGAUGAGAGUCUAAAACUCCUACCACAGCCAAAUACUCAUGGUGAUUAGAUUAGAAAAACCUUUCCACUUAUAUUUCAACCUAUAAGCAUUGAGGAUAGUUAAGCUGUGUAGACCCUAAGGAACUAGUCAUGCAGUUAAAGUCAAUAUUAUGUGCUCUCCAUCCAUUGAUCUUAGCUACUUCUGUCCUCAGAAGUAUGCAACCACUUACAUCUAUCAUAUUCACUAUGUGCUACUUCUGUUCCUGGAAGUACCACCCAUAUAUACACACUACACUCUAUGCUAUUUCUAUCCUUUAGACAUGCACUUAUGCUGCUCUUACCCUGAGAGUAUGCAUUCCUCUAUUUAUCACCCACACACAUUCUACAUCCACUUAGAAAAUGUUCUACUCCUACACUGGGAGAAGACACCCAAAAAUAUUAAAUGUCUUAUUCUACUUAUCCAGUAAAGCUCCAGUUAUCCCAGUUGAUACUCCCUACUGUUAUCAUUGCAUUAAAAGGGAUGGCUGAUCUCUAAAAAAGAGAGAGAGAAAAAAAGAAAAAAAAGAGGACAAAAGUCCCAAUGCAAAAGAAAAGAAAGAUAGCCAAAUCCUUGUUCUCAUAUUAGGAAGGUAUGUUAUCCCCAACGAGCAAAUGUCGAAUUAGAUAUUCACCAUCAGUUAUCACCCCUCAUAACUCCUUUCAUUCUUAUCACUUCACUCACAUGCACAUAUGACUUGAUUGUAUAAUUAGUUUCUCUAGAUCCAUGGUUUAACUAUGCAAUACAUGCAAGUAGGUUUGAAUUGUCUUUCCCACCCAUGAGCUCCACAUAAGCCAAUUAGAACUAGGGUGAGAGAGAGAAGGCAACUAUGUCUUAGUGAUACAAAUACCACAUAUUCUGAGAGCAGAGAGAAGGCAUACUCACUUGCCUUGGAGAGGAUCUAAAAAUACCACAUAUGAGAGACUGAAAAGUGUCAUACAAGGAAACUCUAAGUUUUAUUUGAAAAUCUUGCAAAACUCCAGAAUAAUAGUUGAUCAAAGAGCGGGUAGCAUAGUGCUUGACUUAACUGUUCUGUCUUUCAACUGCCCAAGACCUAAGUAAUAGCUAUAAGCCCUAUGGUGAAAGGAAAAAUGGGUGAGUCUUGAGUCAGAAUAGUUCACUCUAAUCCAGAGAGGAGUCCUUGUUUGAAUACUUGUGUACUUGUAAGGCGUGAAAGCAUUGUAGCAACUCCUGAUCCAUCACUGAGUCUAUCUUUGCUCAGGGACGAGCAAAAGGUAAGCUUGGGGGAGUUUGUUGACGGUAGUUAACUCCUAUUUUUAACUAUCAACAUAACUUUUAUAACUGCAAAGAGAUGCUCACCAACAUAGGUUUAGAGGUUUGAACUAACAAAUUCCAUGAGUUUUGGUGCAUCUAUGUUUUGUAGGGUUACACAGGAAAAGAGCUAAAGGCAAACUAAUCACUGAAUAAAAGUACCUCAAAUGAUGAAGUGGGCUGCACCAUUACAACAGGCUCAUCGAGACGAUCUAAACGGACAUAUCAAUUGCUAUAUUUGGAGUCUAGAGUGAAAACAUAUUAAUUUUACAAAUAAAGAAGAAUUACUACUAAUGGGCCCCACACCCAAGAAAGACCCAUGACGUGAGAAGAGGCUCAUAUGACAUGGUAGAGGCCCAAGAGAGGCGCCCCAAGCUGCUCCUUUGAGUAGGCUCACAUGAGGGACGAUUGGAAAGCCCAAGUUAAUGUAUAAUAGCCCAACAGAGCAAACGGUGAAAGAAUUAGUCCCACAUCGCAUGUCUAGAAGAGGUGGGAGACUUUUCUAGUCUAUAAAUAAAGAGGUAGACC